AACGAACGCUGGCGGCAGGCCUAAUACAUGCAAGUCGAACGAACCUUUAUGGUUAGUGGCGCACGGGUGCGUAACACGUGGGAACCUACCCUUUGGUGCGGAAUAACUGCUGGAAACGGUAGCUAAUACCGCAUAAUCCCUCCGGGGCAAAGAUUUAUCGCCUGAGGAUGGGCCCGCGCUUGAUUAGAUUGUUGGUGAGGUAAUGGCUCACCAAGUCUACGAUCAAUAGCUGGUCUGAGAGGAUGAUCCCCCACACUGGUACUGAGACACGGACCAG
rnacentral:rRNA from 1 species